rnacentral:rRNA from 1 species
GACGAACGCUGGCGGCGUGCCUAAUACAUGCAAGUUGAGCGCUGAAGGUUGGUACUUGUACCAACUGGAUGAGCAGCGAACGGGUGAGUAACGCGUGGGGAAUCUGCCUUUGAGCGGGGGACAACAUUUGGAAACGAAUGCUAAUACCGCAUAAAAACUUUAAACACAAGUUUUAAGUUUGAAAGAUGCAAUUGCAUCACUCAAAGAUGAUCCCGCGUUGUAUUAGCUAGUUGGUGAGGUAAAGGCUCACCAAGGCGAUGAUACAUAGCCGACCUGAGAGGGUGAUCGGCCACAUUGGGACUGAGACACGGCCCAAACUCCUACGGGAGGCAGCAGUAGGGAAUCUUCGGCAAUGGACGAAAGUCUGACCGAGCAACGCCGCGUGAGUGAAGAAGGUUUUCGGAUCGUAAAACUCUGUUGGUAGAGAAGAGCGUUGGUGAGAGUGGAAAGCUCAUCAAGUGACGGUAACUACCCAGAAAGGGACGGCUAACUACGU